UCGGGAAUUUUGGGCAAUGGGCGAAAGCCUGACCCAGCAACGCCGCGUGAAGGAUGAAGUCUCUCGGGAUGUAAACUUCGUAAGAAUAGGAAGAAUAAAUGACGGUACUAUUUGUAAGGUCCGGCUAACUACGUGCCAGCAGCCGCGGUAAUACGUAGGGACCAAGCGUUGUUCGGAUUUACUGGGCGUAAAGGGCGCGUAGGCGGUUUGUCAAGUCAGUUGUGAAAUCUCCGAGCUUAACUCGGAACGGUCAACUGAUACUGUCAAACUAGAGUACAGAAGGGGCAAUCGGAAUUCUUGGUGUAGCGGUGAAAUGCGUAGAUAUCAAGAGGAACACCUGAGGCGAAGGCGGGUUGCUGGGCUGAUACUGACGCUGAGGCGCGAAAGCUAGGGUAGCAAACGGGAUUAGAUACCCCUGUAGUCCCUGAGCGGGCUGGCAAGGCGCAU
rnacentral:rRNA from 1 species